rnacentral:tRNA from 1 species
GCUAUUUUGGCAGAUAAAUGUAAUAAAUUUAGAAUUUAUGGAUGUAAUUUAUAUUACAAAUAGUA